rnacentral:rRNA from 1 species
AGUGGCGAACGGGUGAGGAACACGUAAGAAUCUGCCCCUCGGUCGGGGACAACUCUUGGAAACGAGAGCUAAUACCCGAUACGCUGUGGAGUGAAAGAAUUUCGCCGAGGGACGAUCUUGCGUCUGAUUAGCUAGUUGGUGUGGUAAUGGCAUACCAAGGCGACGAUCAGUAGCUGGUCUGAGAGGAUGAACAGCCACAUUGAAACUGAGACACGGUCCAAACUCCUACGGGGGGCAGCAGUGGGGAAUUUUCCGCAAUGGACGAAAGUCUGACGGAGCGACGCUGCGUGAAGGAUGACGGCCUGCGGGUUGUAAACUUCUUUUCUCGAAGAAGAAGCUCUGACGGUAUUCGAGGAAUAAGCAUCGGCUAACUCCGUGCCAGCAGCCGCGGUAAUACGGAGGAUGCAAGUGUUAUUCGGAAUGAUUGGGCGUAAAGCGUCUGUAGGCUGUAUAGAAAGUCUUUUGUUAAAUGCCUCGGCUCAACCGAGAUCCAGCAAAGGAAACUUCUAUACUUGAGGGAAGUAGAGGUACAGGGAAUUCCCGGUGGAGCGGUGAAAUGCGUAGAUAUCGGGAGGAACACCAAUAUGGCGAAGGCACUGUACUGGGCUUUACCUGACGCUCAGAGACGAAAGCUAAAGGAGUGAUUAGGAUUAGAUACCCUAGUAAUUUUAGCCGUAAACGAUGGAAACUCACUGCCGAGCGAAAUACAACGAGCGGUGGUCAAGCUAACGCGUGAAGUUUCCCGCCUGGGGAUUAC